rnacentral:rRNA from 1 species
UUAAAUUGAAGAGUUUGAUCAUGGCUCAGAUUGAACGCUGGCGGCAGGCCUAACACAUGCAAGUCGAACGGUAACAGGAAUCAGCUUGCUGAUUCGCUGACGAGUGGCGGACGGGUGAGUAAUGUCUGGGAAACUGCCUGAUGGAGGGGGAUAACUACUGGAAACGGUAGCUAAUACCGCAUAACGUCGCAAGACCAAAGAGGGGGACCUUCGGGCCUCUUGCCAUCGGAUGUGCCCAGAUGGGAUUAGCUAGUAGGUGGGGUAAAGGCUCACCUAGGCGACGAU